rnacentral:misc_RNA from 1 species
GAUGCCUCAGUUGGAGUUAAUGAAGGUGAGAAAAGCAGUGCCUUCGAUGCCUCAGUCGGAGUUGAUGAAGUUAAGGAUAACAAUUUGCCAGAGGUAACUGCUUGAUGAAUGGUGAUACUCUGAUUCGUGUUUGUCUUCUUUUCUCUUUUUCUUUAAUUUCUUUUGCUACUUUCACUUCGUGUCAGUCUGCAGAAUCCCAAAAAUUUCUCUAGUUUUGGGAGAUUCAUGGCACAGAAAAAAAAAAAAAAAAAAAAAACGCGCUUUAGUUUUUAUCCUUUUGGAAUUUAUGUUUUAUGAAAUUAAAAAUAUUUC